CUACGGGGGGUUCCAGUGAGGAAUAUUGCACAAUGGGGGGAACCCUGAUGCAGCAACGCCGCGUGGAGGAUGACGCAUUUCGGUGUGUAAACUCCUUUUAUAUGUCAAGAAAAUGACGGUAGCAUAUGAAUAAGCACCGGCUAACUCCGUGCCAGCAGCCGCGGUAAUACGGAGGGUGCAAGCGUUACUCGGAAUCACUGGGCGUAAAGGACGCGUAGGCGGGUUGGAAAGUCAGGUGUGAAAUCCUACAGCUUAACUGUAGAACUGCACUUGAAACUUCUAAUCUAGAGUAUGGGAGGGGGAGAUGGAAUUAGUGGUGUAGGGGUAAAAUCCGUAGAUAUCACUAGGAAUACCUAAAGCGAAGGCGAUCUCCUGGAACAUUACUGACGCUAAGGCGUGAAGGCGUGGGGAGCAAACAGGAUUAGAUACCCCAGUAGUC
rnacentral:rRNA from 1 species